rnacentral:ncRNA from 1 species
AUAUCGACGGGAUGGUUGGCACCUCGAUGUCGGCUCGUCGCAUCCUGGGCUGGAGUUGUCCCAAGGGUUGGGCUGUUCGCCCAUUAAAGCGGUACGCGAGCUGGGUUUAGAACGUCGUGAGACAGUUCGGUCUCUAUCCGCUGUGCGCGUAGGAGUCUUGAGAAGGGCUGUCCCUAGUACGAGAGGACCGGGACGGACGGACCUCUGGUGUGCCAGUUGUUCUGCCAAGGGCAUGGCUGGUUGGCUACGUUCGGGAGGGAUAACCGCUGAAAGCAUCUAAGCGGGAAGCCUGCUUCGAGAUGAGGACUCCCACCCACGUGUUGGGGUAAGGCUCCCUGUAGACGACAGGGUUGAUAGGCCAGAGGUGGAAGCGGGGUGACUCGUGGAGCUGACUGGUACUAAUAGGCCGAGGGCUUGUCCAU